rnacentral:rRNA from 1 species
GACGAACCGUGCGAACGUUAUUCGGAAUCACUGGGCUUAAAGGGCGCGUAGGUGGUUGAUCAAGUCUGGGGGUGAAAUCUUUCGGCUUAACCGGAAAAGUGCCUUGGAUACUGGUCAGCUGGAGGGAGGUAGGGGCAGUUGGAACUUCCAGUGGAGCGGUGAAAUGCGUUGAUAUUGGAAGGAACGCCGGUGGCGAAAGCGAAACUGCUGGACCUCUUCUGACACUGAUGCGCGAAAGCUAGGGGAGCAAACGGGAGUUAGAAAACCCCAGUAG